rnacentral:rRNA from 1 species
UACGAGGGGGGCAAGCGUUGUUCGGAAUUAUUGGGCGUAAAGGGUGCGUAGGUGGUUCGGCAAGUCUUGUGUGAAAUCUUCAGGCUCAACUUGAAGUCUGCACAAGAAACUGCCGGGCUUUAGUAUGGGAGAGGUGAGUGGAAUUUCCGGUGUAGCGGUGAAAUGCGUAGAUAUCGGAAGGAACACCUGUGGCGAAAGCGGCUCACUGGACCAUUACUGACACUGAGGCACGAAAGCUAGGGGAGCAAACAGG